rnacentral:rRNA from 1 species
ACGAAGGGUGCAAGCGUUACUCGGAAUUACUGGGCGUAAAGGGUGCGUAGGUGGUUUUUUGUGUCGGUGGUGAAAGCCCCGGGCUUAACCUGGGAAUGGCCAUGGAAACUGGCGAACUGGAGUGUGGCAGAGGGGGGUGGAAUUCCGCGUGUAGCAGUGAAAUGCGUAGAGAUGCGGAGGAACACCGAUGGCGAAGGCAGCCCCCUGGGCUAGCACUGACGCUCAGGCACGAAAGCGUGGGGAGCAAACAGGA